UCAAGCUCUCAUAAUUUUCGAGUUAUGUUAAAAAAUAAUCUCAAAAUCGAUGGGAAAUCGAAUGGGUAAAACCCAAGAUUGAUGCGUCUACGAAUAAGGACAGGCAGACCUGGCUAGAUCGACUCCCCUAUCAGGAGAUGGAGUAUAGGAGAUGCUUUCUUCUGCCUGUUACACACUUUGGCAACGAAACAUUAUACCCUUUAAUACCCAUUUACAGUGUGUAUCAAAAAUGAAAGAAAGGCAGCGUCUAAAUAUAAAACUCAGCUCGGUUCAGUUUGCCAUCGAGAUCGGAAGCGUCGUUGUGGCGACUUUUUGUGCUCUUUCUGUGAAGUGAAAUUUUUGCCUCAAUGCCACAAAGUCUACAAUGCGCCACAUGAAAAGCGAGCAACAUGUCCAAGAAACGUGAAAACCAAAUAAAUGAGCACCUGGCACAGCGACGCUUGAAUACCCUCUAUAACUUGUUGUCUCGUUUAAAUCUAUGGAUGUGAACCCAAAAAAAAAAAAAAAAACAUAAAAUGUAUAUAUUUUGUAUAUAUUCCCACAUAUAUAUUGAAUUUUAGUUAAAGAAAAUAGAACAAGCUGAAAAGGGGCCUAGCUCAA